rnacentral:snRNA from 1 species
AUGCUCACCUUAGCAGCACAUACACUGAAAUUAGAACGAUAACAAGAUUAGCAUGGCUCUUGUGCGAGGAUGACACAAAUUUGCACAGCAUUCUGUAUCGUUUU